AUACCUCUAGGCAGUGUUCCCAACCUUUCAAACCUUGAAUUCUCUUCACCAUCCAAAAUCUCAUUGAAAUCUCCCAUUAUCACCCACUCCUUAUUUUUGAACAUAGCAGAGUUAUGGUGAUUGCAAAGAUCCUCCCACAUCUCUUUUCUUUCUUCUACCUGAUUUCUCGCAUAGACAAAAGUACACAGAAACUCCUCAUUAUCUUCCAACCCCACUGAACAAGUAAUUAGCUGAUCUGAUUUGUACACCGGUGUCAUACGAACAGAUUCCCUCCAU
rnacentral:lncRNA from 1 species